rnacentral:rRNA from 1 species
CAGUCGCCGCGGGAAUACAGAGGGUGCGAGCGUUAAUCGGAUUUACUGGGCGUAAAGCGUGCGUAGGCGGCUUCUUAAGUCGGAUGUGAAAUCCCUGAGCUUAACUUAGGAAUUGCAUUCGAUACUGGGAAGCUAGAGUAUGGGAGAGGAUGGUAGAAUUCCAGGUGUAGCGGUGAAAUGCGUAUAGAUCUGGAGGAAUACCGAUGGCGAAGGCAGCCAUCUGGCCUAAUACUGACGCUGAGGUACGAAAGCAUGGGGAGCAAACAGGAUUAGAUACCCCUGUAGUCCCUGUCUCUUAUAA